rnacentral:rRNA from 1 species
AUUGAACGCUGGCGGCAUGCCUUACACAUGCAAGUCGAACGGUAACGGGCCUUCGGGUGCCGACGAGUGGCGAACGGGUGAGUAAUGUAUCGGAACGUACCUUUCAGUGGGGGAUAACGUAGCGAAAGUUACGCUAAUACCGCAUAUUCUGUGAGCAGGAAAGCAGGGGAUCGCAAGACCUUGCGCUGAUUGAGCGGCCGAUAUCAGAUUAGCUAGUUGGUGAGGUAAAGGCUCACCAAGGCGACGAUCUGUAGCGGGUCUGAGAGGAUGAUCCGCCACACUGGAACUGAGACACGGACCAGACGCCUACGGGAGGCAGCAGUGGGGAAUUUUGGACAAUGGGGGCAACCCUGAUCCAGCCAUGCCGCGUGAGUGAAGAAGGCCUUCGGGUUGUAAAGCUCUUUCGGCCGGGAAGAAAUCGUAUCAGCUAAUACCUGGUGCGGAUGACGGUACCGGCAUAAGAAGCACCGGCUAACUACGUGCCAGCCGCCGCGGUAAAAC